CGGCCGUUUGCCUUCCGGUCUUUCUCAGCAGUCCGCACUCCGUACCAGUCAGCUUCAGCGAGUGUGCUUGUGGAAGAUAAUCUUUGGUUUUAUCAUGUUUCUGGAAGCCUUGCGCAGUCAUUAUAUGCAAAAUGGUGUUGGGUGAGGUUUAUGGUCAUCAUGUGAACGGUCCUAUAGGUGUAGAAAAAGAUGGGAUUCCUCAAUCCUAGAAACAUGUACUGGAGGGCUGUAACUGUACCUCUUGGCGAUGAGACAUGCUGUCCACUAGGUGGCGCACCGUUGCUGUCUGAUACCAUAUGGCUAGUUUAAAUGGUUUUGGCUGGCUUGCGUUCUUCCAGAGCUGUACAAUAAAGGGGUCAGAUUUGCAGUCCGGGCUUUGCCAUCGACAUGUUACAUGGAAGGUGAGAGUGCUUCCACUGAUCUGGAUCACGUUCAAAGGGGAUCAGCCACUUACAUCCACUGGCGAUCCUUAACGCUGUGAUCCUAUAUAACUGCCCUGCAAGACAUUAUGUGGGUUUUUUUUUCAACUUGAAAUGCCUGCUGUCUGUGUGGCCACAUAUUUUUGCUUUGUACUCCACAGAAGUGCCAUGCUAUAUUGCUGGUGAUUAAAAUGAUUUUAAUUGGCCUUUUUAAUCCUCCCAACAGAUGUGGAGAUCUGUGAUCAAGAAUUUUGCAAUGUCUGUUGCAUUUUAGUAUGCCACAAACCAAUAAAACGUAUCCUUGUGAAA